UGGGGAAUCUUCCGCAAUGGACGAAAGUCUGACGGAGCAACGCCGCGUGAGUGAAGACGGCCUUCGGGUUGUAAAGCUCUGUGAUCCGGGACGAAAGAGCCUGAGGUGAAUAGCCUAAGGAAGUGACGGUACCGGAAAAGCAAGCCACGGCUAACUACGUGCCAGCAGCCGCGGUAAUACGUAGGUGGCAAGCGUUUUCCGGAAUUAUUGGGCGUAAAGCGCGCGCAGGCGGCUUCCUAAGUCCAUCUUAAAAGUGCGGGGCUUAACCCCGUGAUGGGAUGGAAACUGGGAAGCUGGAGUAUAGGAGAGGAAAGUGGAAUUCCUAGUGUAGCGGUGAAAUGCGUAGAGAUUAGGAAGAACACCGGUGGCGAAGGCGACUUUCUGGACGAAAACUGACGCUGAGGCGCGAAAGCGUGGGGAGCAAACAGG
rnacentral:rRNA from 1 species